CGAACGCUGGCGGCAGGCCUAAUACAUGCAAGUCGAACGGCUCUUCGGAGCAGUGGCGGACGGGUGAGUAACGCGUGGGAAUGUGCCCUUUGGUACGGAACAACACAGGGAAACUUGUGCUAAUACCGUAUGUGCCCUUCGGGGGAAAGAUUUAUCGCCAUUGGAGCAGCCCGCGUUGGAUUAGGUAGUUGGUGAGGUAAAGGCUCACCAAGCCUACGAUCCAUAGCUGGUCUGAGAGGAUGAUCAGCCACACUGGGGCUGAGACACGGCCCAGACUCCUACGGGAGGCAGCAGUAGGGAAUCUUGCGCAAUGGGCGAAAGCCUGACGCAGCCAUGCCGCGUGAGUGAUGAAGGUCUUAGGAUUGUAAAAUUCUUUCACCGGGGAAGAUAAUGACGGUACCCGGAGAAGAAGCCCCGGCUAACUUCGUGCCAGCAGCCGCCGUAA
rnacentral:rRNA from 1 species